GGGUGAUUAGCUCAGCUGGGAGAGCACCUCCCUUUUAAGGAGUUGGUCGCAGGUUCGAAUCCUGCACGACCCACCA
rnacentral:tRNA from 1 species